GAACCAUGAAAAUGAGGUCAAGGUCAGAUGACAUCUGCCCGCUAGACAUGUACACCUUACAAUCAUUCCAUACAACAAAUAUAGUAGACUUAUUGCACAAAGUAUGGGAAAAAUAGACCAAAACACAAAAACUUAACUAUAACCACUGAACCAUGAAAAUGAGGUCAAGGUCAGAUGACACCUGCCAGUUGGACAUGUACACCUAACAGUCCUUCCAUACACCGAAUAUACUAGCCCUAUUGCUUAUAGUAUCUGAGAUAUGGACUUGACCACCAAAACUUAACCUUGUUCACUGAUCCAUGAAAUGAGGUCGAGGUCAAGUG
rnacentral:lncRNA from 1 species